UACGUAGGUGGCAAGCGUUGUCCGGAUUUAUUGGGCGUAAAGGGAGCGCAGGCGGUGACUUAAGUCUGAUGUGAAAGCCCACGGCUCAACCGUGGAAGGUCAUUGGAAACUGGGUCACUUGAGUGCAGAAGAGGAAAGUGGAAUUCCAUGUGUAGCGGUGAAAUGCGUAGAUAUAUGGAGGAACACCAGUGGCGAAGGCGACUUUCUGGUCUGUAACUGACGCUGAGGCUCGAAAGCGUGGGGAG
rnacentral:rRNA from 1 species